AGCGAACGCUGGCGGCAGGCUUAACACAUGCAAGUCGAGCGGGCACUUUCGGGUGUCAGCGGCGGACGGGUGAGUAACGCGUGGGAACGUGCCCUCUGGUUCGGAAUAACUCAGGGAAACUUGAGCUAAUACCGGAUACGCCCUUUUGGGGAAAGGCUUGCUGCCGGAGGAUCGGCCCGCGUCUGAUUAGCUAGUUGGUGAGGUAACGGCUCACCAAGGCGACGAUCAGUAGCUGGUCUGAGAGGAUGAUCAGCCACACUGGGACUGAGACACGGCCCAGACUCCUACGGGAGGCAGCAGUGGGGAAUAUUGGACAAUGGGCGCAAGCCUGAUCCAGCCAUGCCGCGUGAGUGAUGAAGGCCUUAGGGUUGUAAAGCUCUCUUAUCCGGGACGAUAAUGACGGUACCGGAGGAAUAAGCCCCGGCUAACUUCGUG
rnacentral:rRNA from 1 species